rnacentral:lncRNA from 1 species
ACAUGCACUCUGCUACCCCCGGCAACACAAAGCUCCAUUCCGAAUACCGCAAAGACCAGUGGGGAUUUAUAGCGAGUGAGGGGGUCAGUGGAUGGACACUCAGUAAGAGGAGAUAUCAAGAGUAGGGGAAUUCUUGCUAAACCCCCUUAACAGGAUCCUUGCUGAAGGCCGACCAGUGAUCAGAUGUCAAGAGUGGGGGAGAAUCUUCUAGAGAAAGAUUGGCAGCUGCUUAAUUGAAGCAGAGUUCAAUGGACAGAAAACAAAAACACAGAUUUCUCCCUGAGGAAAACAACAAGACUUUGGAUUUUUGAAAGGAACUGAAGUUAUUUCCUAGGGAGUCGAGAACCUUCAAGGCUAUGCUGACCAAGGCGCUGAGACCAUGGACAGCUGGCUAGGACACGCCCACGGUGGGACCCGCCCCCCCC